UAACGCGUGAGGAACCUGCCUCAAAGAGGGGGACAACAGUUGGAAACGACUGCUAAUACCGCAUAAGCCCACGACCCGGCAUCGGGUUGAGGGAAAAGGAGCAAUCCGCUUUGAGAUGGCCUCGCGUCCGAUUAGCUAGUUGGUGAGGUAAUGGUCCACCAAGGCAACGAUCGGUAGCCGGACUGAGAGGUUGAACGGCCACAUUGGGACUGAGACACGGCCCAGACUCCUACGGGAGGCAGCAGUGGGGAAUAUUGCACAAUGGGGGAAACCCUGAUGCAGCGACGCCGCGUGGAGGAAGAAGGUCUUCGGAUUGUAAACUCCUGUUGUUGAGGAAGAUAAUGACGGUACUCAACAAGGAAGUGACGGCUAACUACGUGCCAGCAGCCGCGGUAAAACGUAGGUCACAAGCGUUGUCCGGAAUUACUGGGUGUAAAGGGAGCGCAGGCGGGAAGACAAGUUGGAAGUGAAAUCUAUGGGCUCAACCCAUAAACUGCUUUCAAAACUGUUUUUCUUGAGUAGUGCAGAGGUAGGCGGAAUUCCCGGUGUAGCGGUGGAAUGCGUAGAUAUCGGGAGGAACACCAGUGGCGAAGGCGGCCUACUGGGCACCAACUGACGCUGAGGCUCGAAAGUGUGGGUAGCAAACAGGAUUAGAUACCCUGGUAGUCCACACCGUAAACGAUGAUUACUAGGUGU
rnacentral:rRNA from 1 species